rnacentral:lncRNA from 1 species
UGUUUUGAGUUGCGAUACAAUGGUCACAUUAAUAACAAAAUGUGUGUUAAAAGUGUUUUAAAAUAUUAUAAAUGACAUUUAGCCACACAUUAGUCAAAACUGUGGCAGGCUUGUGUUUGAAAAAGUGUGGCUAAAGCCUAAUUUUGGCGUAGUGCCUAUAAAACUAUUGUUUUAUGACUAAAAUAUCAAGUGUCCUAUUACGGUGUAUUAUAAUAACACCACAAUGAUUAAGCGUCCUAUAAAGGUUAAAUUUAUAAGACCCAAGUAUCCAAGUGUCAAGUGUCUUUUUAAGUUAUAUUAUAAUAAAACUCUACCGUAUAAGCGUCCUAUAAAACUAAUGUUUUAUGACUAAAAUAUCAAGUGUCCUAUUACGGUGUAUUAUAAUAACACCACAAUGAUUAAGCGUCCUAUAAAGUUUAAAGUUAUAAGACCCAAGUGUCAAGUGUCCUAUUAAGUUAAGUUCUAAUAUGACUUCGACUA